rnacentral:rRNA from 1 species
AACGAACGCUGGCGGCGUGUUUAAGACAUGCAAGUCGCACGGGAUAAGACAUGUAGUAAUACUUGUUUUAUUUAGUGGCGCACGGGUGAGUAACACGUGAAUUACAUGCCCUAUAGUGGGGAAUAGCCCAGGGAAACUUGGAUUAAUACCCCAUGGUAUCGAACGAUUAAAGGUGGCCGCAAGGCUGUCGCUAUAGGAUUGGUUCGCGCCCUAUCCGCUUGUUGGUGAGGUAACGGCUCACCAAGGCAAUGACGGGUACCUGGUCUGAGAGGACGAGCAGGCACACUGGAACUGAGACACGGUCCAGACACCUACGGGUGGCAGCAGUCGAGAAUAAUUCACAAUGGGGGCAACCCUGAUGGUGCAACGCCGCGUGGAGGAUGACGGUCUUCGGAUUGUAAACUCCUGUCAUCUGGGAGAAAGACCUGACGGUAAAUAGCCGGCAGGGUUGAUAGUACCAGAAGAGGAAGGGACGGCUAACUUCGUGCCAGCCGCCGCCGUAA